AUUGGGUUGUUGGGAAUAGUAGCCUAAUGAUGAUGGUUUAAUAUUCUUUGAUUGGCAGCGAUGAUGAUCUGGACUGCAAUACGGAAAUUAAUGAAAGCUUUGUGAUAGCUAAUAAAUAUACACGGUGUUUUCCAAAAAAUUAUUAAUACAAUAUAAUCAUGUGUAUUGAUUGCCAUCAAAACCAACAAAAUAUCAAUCUUUAUUGUCACUAUACUUAUAUAGACUUAUUUUAAAUUUAACUCGGUGUUAAUGUUAAUAUUCAGACCAUGCAAAGUGUUUCGAAUUGUUUCAACAAAAGUUAUAACAAUGUAUAUUAAGCUAGCUUUUUACAAGAUAUUAUGGCGAAUGAUUCUAGAGGUUAUAUCUCAAAUUUUGAAAUUAUAUUUAUAUGUACAAUAUUUACACAAUAACUAUACAAAUCAUAUCUAACCCAUACAGGGCAUGAAAUAUAAUUUUACUACUUGAGAUUUUAAUUUGCGCAUCUUAAUUGUUCGAUACGUCUGAUAGAACUUAUAUAUUAAGUCAUGGGUUUUAAUAUAGAAUUUUCGAAUGGAUUGAAUUUUCGUACACAAGGAGCAAUUGCGAAAUAUACAACAGCUCUCUGCAUGGCAAAAAUCGAAUCUGCGGCUUUGCAUGUAAUUCAGGUGCAGAUCUCCAACUAACUGAGCUACAGAGUACAUGCAGUUGCCGAGAAUUACCCAUAUGUUCAUGUAUAGACAAAGGUAAUGUCACUAAUAUAUGGGUAAUAUGGGUACAACUGGCAUCUUGUUCGAUAAAGUUUAUAGAGAUGGGUUUUGUGAAGCUGGAAUUAGAGGUGGGGUUUAAAAAGCCUGCACCUACGAAAUGCCCCCAAAUCUCGAUAUUUAUUCCCAUAUUCCUUCUACUGGCAUCACCUUAGCAUAAUAUAUUACAUAUGAAUAAUAUUUAACAAUUAUUCGCCGAAGGCGAGGUGAUUAUCGGGGAAUAUUCGCCGAGACGAAGUCGAGGUGAAUAUCCCCGAUAAUCACCGAGCCUGAAUGAGGCGAAUAGUUGUUUUAGUAUUUUACACAAGUUUUUUGUGUGUUUUUUUAACUGAUUUUCAAUUUCGCUUUAUUUCUUUAACAGUAACUUCCACAAAACGGCUAGCCGCCAUUUUGUAAAUUUCGGUUUUGUUAUAUGCAACUGUAGGUGAAUAUAACAGAUUAAUACGUCAAAUUUGACCAAUCAACUUGUAGGAUUUGUUAUGUUCACUUGUGCAAAAAUACUAAAUACAUAUAUACACCACCUCAUAUUACAUAUCACCUUAUCUUUUACAUAUACACCACCUUAUAUUAUAUAUGACCUUGAUUUUUUCAACUCGUACGAAUAUUUUUUUUAAAUUGUUUGCUUGUGUCGAUAAUUUUAAUUUUAAAUAUACUCCCUUGCACGAAUUUUUUUUAUUUCUACUUAUAAUUGUCCUAAUUGAAAAGUCUCUGCACGAAUUUUUUUUUUCAAACUUUUUUAGUGCACGAAUUUUUUUCUUUCUGUUUCCCCUGCUCGAUUUUUAUUUUUGCUUCCCUAUGGUGUCCGAGGAGAGACAUUGCGUUUUUCUUAUUGUUUUUUGUUUAUAUAUAUUUUUAUAUUUAUUCAUUUUAAUAUUUUAAUUUUUCAUUUUAAAUUUAGUUUUUUUUGUUUUGAUUUUAUGCUUAUUUCAUUUCAUUUCAAAUUUAAUUUUUAAAAUGAAAAAUUCGCAUGUCCGAGAAGAGACAUGGCGAAAUAACGCUGACAACCUGUACAUGAUUCGCGGGCGCAUUUGCUUCCCGCCAAAAUAUCAAACAUGGCUGACAUGUGGAAAAGCGAUUCCGAUCUGAAAGUUCGACUUGAAAGUUUGGUGAAGAAAGGAUAUCAACGAACCGAUUCUACACGAAAUAAAAAAAGACUUUUCCCAAUAUACCUGGGGCUGUAUUAAAACAUUGGACCGUACACUACGGCAUUUUGACAUAAACUAUAUCAAAUAUGAUACUCCUGUAGAAGAUGUACGAAAUGUGGUCAGUGAAGAAUUGAAAGGUCCUGGCAGGCUCUUAGGUGUUAGGACCAUGACGAAAAAAUUGCGCAUGGUGCACGACAUUCAAGUUUCUAGAGACUUGGUCAACGCUGUCAUGUACGACCUCGACCCUGAUACCUUAAUUGGAACAAAGAGAACCACGUAACAAGGGCAAUAGAAAGAGAGGACAGUUCAUAACUCAUGGAGUCAAUUGGACAUGGAGUCUAGACGGUCAUGAUAAGUUGAUGGGAUUCCAGAACUGGACUUUCCCACUAGCUAUAUAUGGAUGCUAUGACACAGAGAGAAGUGAUGUUCCUUAAAGUAUGGACAUCAAACUCCAAUCCAGAGCUUGUUGGCAGGUGGUAUUUUGACCAUCUAUAUGAAACAAAGAGAAUAUCUUGUCCCACUCCCAGAUGAUACCUUGAAAAUAAACCUUACAAAAAUCGUACCAUUGAGGUUUUUCACUUCGUCAAGACAUUCGAGAGAUGGUCCUCUUUCUGUUUCUAAAAAGGUCACAGGAAAAUACAUCCAUUUUAAAACCAGUAAUACAGGCACGACGUACAAUGUCGAUAGAUGGUGGUUUACUUAAAUCUUCAUCUGCAACAUCCACUCUCUUAUAAAGUGGACCCAUCCUGGCAUAUUUCUGCGACGAGCCUUUGACCUGUGCAGACAAACGCUGUAUUGUAAGACGUUAAGGCAACAACCUAUCUUUGUUCUUGUUUCCGCUCUUCUUCUCUGUCUUUCUUCGUCUUUUUAAAGCCGUUUCAGCUUCAUAUUUCUUGAAUUUAUGAAAGCGCCCGCGAAUCAUGUACAAGUUGUCAGCGUUAUUUCGCCAUGUCUCUUCUCGGACAUGCGAAUUUUUCAUUUUAAAAAUUAAAUUUGAAAUGAAAUGAAAUAAGCAUAAAAUAAAAAAAAACCCAACUAAAUAAAUAUAAAUAUAUAUAUAAAAAAAAAUAAGAAAAACGCAAUGUCUCUCCUCGGACACCAUACUCCCCCCCUCCCCCCCAUCACUUUUCUAGUGGUCUGACCCUUAAAUGAUGCUCCCGUGAUGCUUUAUGUAUAUAUUAUAUAUGGUUAACACUCGGCCGCAACUGGACUCGGUGGCAGUCAAUUAGAGCGCUGCACCAGGUCACAGGACCACUGGUUCGAUUCCUACCAGAAGGCCUAUCGUUGCAUUUUUCACAACUGCUCCUGGUUAGAUCUAAGAAUGUACCGACGAGGCGUUGAACGCCGAAACAUGCAUGUCUGCAGAUUGUACUAUUACGCUCCUUCACUUGGGUUAGAUCUAAGAAUGCAUGUAUAUAAAGAUUAAGUUCCGUUCGAAAAUCCAUCUAUGCCAUUACCAGUAACUAGCGACCAAAUGACCACCGUUUAUAUACUAAUUUGAGUAUAUAAUCCCUACACAAUAGCCUUUUUAAUUGUUUUUUCUUAAUUCCUAACCGAAUAUAUAUGGUGAAAAUAUUUAACUCGAAAUUAUGGCAAUCUGAGACCUCGGCAACUGCAGUGCUGAUCUCGUCACCUCGUGAUCAAUAAAGCAGUCAUUACCUAAAGUUUUGGUAGCAUAUUUAUUGAUUCAGCUGCAGAUCGGCUAUCUCUCCGAGGGGCCAAGAGCUUCAACUUUUUGUUGAAGUGCUUCAACUUUUAUGUCAACUCCGUACGGUCAAACUGUCGAGCGAUUUUAUUUUGAGAUAUUUUUAAAACGCCGUUUGGUGACAUAAUCAAGGCUUUAUAAAGUAAUCUAUAUCAAGAACGUGGAAGACUAGAUCUUGAACAAUAUUGCUUAUUGUUUCACAUCCCAAAUAGACUCGC